rnacentral:rRNA from 1 species
GAUGAACGCUGACAGAAUGCUUAACACAUGCAAGUCAACUUGAACUUCGGUUUGGGUGGCGGACGGGUGAGUAACGCGUACAGAACUUGCCUCACGGCUAGGGACAACAUUUGGAAACGAAUGCUAAUACCUGAUAUUAUGAUUUUAGGGCAUCCUAGAAUUAUGAAAGCUAUAUGCGCUGUGAGAGAGCUUUGCGUCCCAUUAGCUAGUUGGAGAGGUAACGGCUCACCAAGGCGAUGAUGGGUAGCCGGCCUGAGAGGGUGAACGGCCACAAGGGGACUGAGACACGGCCCUUACUCCUACGGGAGGCAGCAGGGGGGAAUAUUGGACAAUGGACCAAGAGUCUGAUCCAGCAAUUCUGUGUGCACGAUGAAGUUUUUCGGAAUGUAAAGUGCUUUCAGUUGGGAAGAAAAAAAUGACGGUACCAACAGAAGAAGUGACGGCUAAAUACGUG